rnacentral:rRNA from 1 species
CGGGGGGAGCAAGCGUUGUUCGGAUUUACUGGGCGUAAAGGGCGCGUAGGCGGCCACCGCAAGUCGACUGUGAAAUCUCCGGGCUUAACCCGGAAAGGUCAGCCGGGAUACUGCGGGGCUAGAGUGCAGAAGGGGCAACUGGAAUUCUCGGUGUAGCGGUGAAAUGCGUAGAUAUCGAGAGGAACACCUGCGGCGAAGGCGGGUUGCUGGGCUGACACUGACGCUGAGGCGCGAAAGCUAGGGGAGCGAACGGGGAUUAGAUACCCCGGUAGUCCUAGCCUUAAACGAUGAAUGCUUGGUGUCUGGGGUUUUAUAGUCCCCGGGUGCCGUCGCUAACGCUUUAAGCAUUCCGCCUGGGGAGUACGGUCGCAAGACUG